UCCAGGUGAGAUUAGUGUUUGAAUCAGUCGACUGAGUUAAGUGGAUGGCCCUCCCAGGUGUGGGUGGGCCUCAUCCGGUGCCUCCCGGGCCUGAAUAGAACAAGAGGAGGAGGAGGAAGGGGGAAUUCACCUCUUUUUUUCCUGACUCACUGCCGAGAUGAACACCUCAGUGCGUAUCUUCUGCGGUCAGAGGAUGGGGAUGCACACCAUCAGCUGCCCUGGUUCUCAGGCCUUCGAAUGUGGACUGCAUUAUACCACUGGCUCUCCUGGGCCUCCACCUUGCAGACAGCAGACUGUGGGACUCCCCUGCCUCCAUUACCAUGUUUCCAGUCCAGUUAAAGCCUCCUGGCCUCCGGAAUUCCCUCCUGUGUUCUACCAGAUGAUAGCAGGUGCCUCUCUGCCCUUGUGGAGCCUUUAGGCACUAAAGCCAGCACACAGAAGGAAUGCUGAGCCAGGAGAAAUGGUUGCAAAGUUUGGCCUGUUGUCUUCCCCAAACCUCUCCACAAGUAUCUCCCGGCAGAAGCAGCCUUUGGUGGGGAAAGUUCAACUGCAAUACAGUUACAGAUUUUCCCUGUGUGCCUUUUCCCUCCUCUACCUCUUUAACCAUUGUUCUUUCUCCUGUGGGCCCUCAAAAUUUGUUUGCAUGAAAGAUCCUAUUAUCAUUAAUUAGGCCUUAGAGUAAUGUAUAAUUCAAUGAGUCCAAACAGUGAUUUAAGAGGCUAGGGUUCAGUUCUGAGUCUUCCAUUGUGCAUUUGAGUGGCACCAUUUGCCUUCUUUGAGGCCCAGCUGCUUCCAGUGUCAAUAAAGUGAGGGAUAAUAAUUCCAUAGUUUCCCUACCUGCCUUAUAUACUUGUGAGGGUCAAAUAAAACAAAAAUAGAAAGGCACUGUGACAAAUGUAAUGUUACAGUAAUUCAGAUGGGUUUUCAUUAUUACUGUUAGUAGCAAUAAUAGUAUUUGUAUUGGUAGUAGCAGCAGUAGUGACCUGAGUAGCAGUGGUCUUUAUAGAAUCCCAGAGUCUUGGAGUCAGAAAAGACCAAUUUCUCACCAAAUAUAAUACUGUAUUACCUAUUAACUUCAUUAUCAUAAUUACUAUUUUAUAUGCUUCUUCCAUUCUGUUUUCUCUAGGGCAUUCACUGAAGUAAAACUAAUGUCUUCCUAUCCUCUUCCAUAU